rnacentral:lncRNA from 1 species
CGCAUCACAAAAGCAGUUUGUCGUUGUUAACGGUGCUCAAUCUCAGAUCACGAGUGUCACGUCCGGUGUACCUCAAGGAUCUGUCUAGGGUCCACUGUUAUUUUUAUUAUACAUAAAUGAUAUAACCGAUGGUAUCCAGUCUCAGAUGCGUUUAUUCGCCGAUGAUUGUGUGGUAUACAGGGAAGUAAAAUGCGUUGAUGAUGUGGCUGUUCUCCAACAAGAUCUAGACAAAAUCAACGAGUGGUGUGUAAAGUGGCAUAUGAAGUUAAAUGAAAAAAAAAAAAAAAACUGAACAUGACAUUUACCAGAAAAAAGUAUCCACACAUGAGCAGUUAUAAUCUGAACAGCAUACCUUUAAAACAAGUAUCAGAUUACAAAUACCUGGGUGUUUAUUUUACAUCUUCGCUAGGUGGCAGAGACACAUUGAUUAUGUUGCUGCCAAAGCUGGGAAAGUGUUGGGCUUUUUGCGUCGGAAUGCCAGAACUUUUCCUGUACCUAUUAAAGAAUUAUUGUACAAAACCAAUGAUAAACCCCUUCUUGAAUAUGCCUGCACAAUCUGGAACCCUACAGCAAAGCGAGACAAUGAUAAAUUGGAAAGGAUUCAAAAUUUGGCUGCCCAGUUUGUGUCAGGCAAUUACCGCAGGACUAUUGGGGCGGAAAGUAUAAAAGAAACACUGAAUUGGGAGCAUUUAGAUAAUCGUUGACAUAAGUUGCGAUUUAAAAUCUUUCAUGCUGUUUACCAUGGUCGUGUCGGGAUUGAAAAUACAAAAUAUUUGCUUGCACCUCCCUAUGUCUCAGACAGAGUUGAUCACAUGUUCAAGGUACGGGAAAUCACAUGCAAGACUGAUUUACUUCGAUUGUCUUUCUUUCCUAGAACAAUCCGCAAAUGGAACCAACUGCCGUCAAACAUUGCCUCUGUUAUGUCUAAUGAUGUUUUCUUUUCUAUGUUAGCAUAACCGCGUUUAAGUUUGUGCCAAUGACAUCUGUAUUUUAUGACUGAUUGUGAUUAGUGGUUAUUUUUAUUAGUUGUGUGACUGAUACUGUAUGUAUUUCUUUAUCUUUUUUGUGUAUAUCCUCCCCCACAGUAAUGCCUGUUAAGGCACUGUGGGUAAUAAGGUAAAAAAAAAAUUAAGAUACCCGUAAUUCAGGAGAAA